CAGUAGCCGCGGGAAUACGAAGGGGGCUGGCGUUGCUCGGAAUCACUGGGCGUAAAGGGUGCGUAGGCGGGUCUUUAAGUCAGGGGUGAAAUCCUGGAGCUCAACUCCAGAACUGCCUUUGAUACUGAAGAUCUUGAGUUCGGGAGAGGUGAGUGGAACUGCGAGUGUAGAGGUGACAUUCGUAGAUAUUCGGAGGAACACCAGUGGCGAAGGCGGCUCACUGGUCCAUUACUGACGCUGAGGUGCGAAAGCGUGGGGAGCAAACAGGAUUAGAGACCCCAGUAGUCCCUGUCUCUUAUAC
rnacentral:rRNA from 1 species